CGUACUCACCCGCGCGCGCACACACACGAGGGUCCUAAGAGACCCUUGGCUGCCCACAACUGCCUAGCCUUGCUGACGGGGCGAGAGGAGGAGAGGGGCUCCCAGGGCGGAGCAGCAGGAGAUGCUGCAGAAACCCCGCCCACGCAGUGCUGCCGGCCGGGUCCCCAUUCACCGCCCGGUUUCCCCGAGCUGAGCCGAGCUCCCGCGCCGCCGUGUGGACCGAGCAUGGAGAAGCUGGUGUCCAGGAGGUCCUUCUGUCAUCUGUCUACCUACUGCCUUCUUUGGGGCCUGGCAGCAGUGGUGCUGUGCACAGCGCAAGUGGUGACCCAGGAUGAAAGACAGCUGCUGAACACACCUGCAUCCUUAAGAUGUUCUCUACAGACUUCCCAGGAAGCCUUAAUUGUGACCUGGCAGAAAAAGAAGGUUCUAAGCCCGGAAAACAUGAUCACCUACAGUGAGAACCAUGGGGUUGUGGUUCAGCCCGCCUAUGAGAACAGGGUGAACAUUACUGAGCUGGGACUUCAGAAAUCAGCCAUCACCUUCUGGAAUGCAACACUGGAGGAUGAAGGAUGUUACAUGUGUCUCUUCAACACCUUUGGCUCUGGGAAGAUCUCAGGAACAGCCUGCCUUACCCUCUAUGUGCAGCCCAUAGUAUUUCUUCACUACGAUUUCUUUGAAGAUCAACUAAACAUUACUUGCUCUGCCACUGCCCGCCCAGCCCCUGUGGUCUCCUGGAAGGUCGCUGGGUCAGGGCUUGAGAAUAGUACUGAGAGUGUUUUGCAUCCUAAUGGAACCACAUCUGUCACUAGCAUCCUCCGGGUCAAAGAUGCCAAGAGCCAGGUUGGGAAGGAGGUGAUUUGCCAGGUCCUGCACUUGGGGGCUGUGACUGAAUACAAGGAAGUUCUGAACAAAGGCUUUUGGUUUUCAAUUCCAUUAUUGUUAAGCAUUGUUUCCCUGAUAAUUCUCCUGGUCUUAAUCUCAAUCUUAUUAUACUGGAAAUGUCAUCGGAAUCAGGACCGAGCAUUCCACAAGCCAGAUGCCCAUGUAAGAGGCUAUGAAAUUGUCCAAUACGAUCACUCAUUAAAUAGCACUUCCUAUGUCACACUCCCUUGAUGUCUCAAACACAAUCGGCAACAUACAGGCUUCUGGAAUUAGGAUGUGGACAUUUGAAGGGACCAUUAAUACGCUAGCACAAGUGCUACCAAAAAGUGGAUGUAAGCUGCAUAAAGGGACAGCUAUUAACUCAUCCCCCAAUAGCCCUAAAGGACUUAACAGAACCAUGAAAGACUUUCCCUGGUCUACUUGAAUUUGAUGGAGGAGGAAAGCAGUAAGAAAACAGGUCAUUCUGCAAACAAGGCAGAAGCAAGUGUUUCAAGAAAUCUCUGACUUUUCACUGCCAUUUAAGCUACACAGUGUUUGAAUUCCAACAUGAAGUGAUUUGUCUGUCAGGUCUGUUGUAGGACUUGAUUGUGUAAAGCAGUGUGGCACUGAUCCUGAAAGGGCACUGGACUUAGAACUUGGAGCGCUCCUCUCCCAGACUGACCAAGGCUCCUAUAGGUGGAAACCCUAUGGUAAUGACUUUACCUCAAUGAGCUUCCAUGUCCUUACCUAGAGCAGAAGGGAGUUGGACCAAAUGAUUUACCAUGCAGCUCUCAGAAUUGAUGUAAUUACAGGAAAACAAGAGAAUAGCUGAGGAAGAUGUGAAAAGAGGCAAGAAUCCAGUAAGGUCCAAAGAACCUUUAUGAGACAUUCCUUUCACCUUCUGCUGGUGUUUUGUCUCCUGUAUGUCUCUUCUUUAUUCUUAGGUCAAUGAGUCUGUUUGCCUGGGAUUUGUUAUCUAGUCCCAUCCCUGCUCACUGUUUUGCUAAGGGUUGAUCUUGCUACAAUGCUUGGUUUCCCUGCCAUUCUUCAUGUGCUGUAAGGUUUAUUACAUCAAAGACGGAAUAUGAAAGAACAUCGACCCUCUUAUUUACCUUACUUUUAUAGAAGGAUAAAUGUUAGGGUUAGACAAUAACUCACAAUUUAAAAGAAGCAUGCUUCCCUGUUGUUUUGUCUCAGAAUAUGACCACCCCCCUAUUUUAGGCCAUUUUGAAAUUAGCCCUAAUAUAAUGAAAAUGUAUCAUGAAAACAUUUAAGAGAUUUCCUGUAAAGCUGUCAGCCAAUUUACGCUUUGUAUCUCCUGGCUUUCUUUGUUUGUUUCACAUGAGUCAGCUUUUCACAAGAGGAACAGGCAAGUAUGAACAUACAAUCCCUUUAUUUUCAAAAUAUUUUUAACUAAUAGAACAAUGAUUUCAUAAAUACCUGUAAGACCUAAUUAGUGGAUUUUCUUUCAUUAUCUUUUGCUUCUUCUGUCUUUAUUCAGUGACCUAGGAAUUAAAGUGUAUGUUUAUUUUCACUGUUAAAUUGAGUAUUUAAGAUUUUUAUGAGUUAUUUAAUUCUGUGUCAUUCCUUACAUUUGUAUUAAAAUGCUGACAAUUAAAAGUUUCAAUUCUAAAUACUU